AGCGCCACCGGGUCUACCCCGCGGGUGACCACCAGAUAGUCGCGCAUCGCGAUGCUGUGUCGGUUCUC
rfam:Mycobacterium sp. NE-TNMC-100812 PROKKA_contig000026, whole genome shotgun sequence.